rnacentral:rRNA from 1 species
GACGAACUGUGCAACCGUUAUUCGGAAUCACUGGGCUUGAAGAGUGCGUAGGCGGUUUCGUAAGUAGGGUGUGAAAGCCCCCAGCUCAACUGGGGAACUGCGUCCUAAACUGCGAGGCUGGAGUGAGGUAGGGGUGUGUGGAACUUCCGGUGGAGCGGUGAAAUGUGUUGAUAUCGGAAGGAACGCCGGUGGCGAAAGCGACACACUGGGCCUUGUCUGACGCUGAGGCACGAAAGCCAGGGGAGCAAACGGG